GGGUGUGGUGGGAUGCAUCUGUAGUCCCAGCUACUCAAAAGGAUAUGGUGGGAGGAUCCCUUGAGCCCUUGCAGUGAGCUAUGAUUAUGCCACUGGGCGACAGAGGUCUCAAAAGUUCAACCCAAGUUAGAAAAUCAGUUUAAAUGUGUAAUAUACCAAAGAAAUAACUGCUUGCUCUGUCAUAUUUAAAUAUUCAUAGUUUAGAAUGCUAGGUUUAGUGUUCCAAUCCAUUAUUCUGUAAAUGGAGGCUCAAAGAGGCCACUUGGUUAGGUUUCCUGGGGCUUUGCCCAUUUCUUUUCUCCCCUAGUUAUGCCCUCAGGUGUGACCCUUGUAUAUUCUUAAUUCAUGCUCUGCCAUAAGAUGGAUUCAAACUUUGUGCCUCCACCUGUAAUGAUUCAUUUUAGGAAUUACUCCUUUUAUCAUCUUUAUAUCCAAACCAGUAUAUUUACUGACUACAGUGCUUUGAGUUAAGUUCUUUCAUAAAUAAUUGAAUAGCCGGAGAAAUUUUGCAGUAUCGCAGUCAUGUUUUGAAAAUAUUGUUCUUGGUUCUUGUCUCUAAUCUUUGAGAAAGCACACAGGAUAUAGUGUGUUGGCUUUCAGAUCACUAAUAAUUAAGACCAGAGUUCUGUGGCCCCGUGUGUCGCUUUAAGGGAUCCUGUAGGGCCCACACGAGAAAUUUCACCAACUGCACUAUCUUUAAAUUCCAACAUACACGGGUGGUCCUGCCCUGGAUAAAACUCAGGAAGCAAAAUCAACCUUCGAGAGAGGUGAGGUAGGAAGUCUGAGCAUUGCCGACGGGCCGGAGCAAAUCGCUCCCGGGCUAGACCCUGCCUACACCGCGGCGGGGACAGGUGGAGGUUUCAACCCCUGUUUGGCAACCUCGGGCGCAGCCAGGCCCCGCCCAGAAAUUUCCGGGACACGCCCCGGAAGUACUGAGAGGGACUUCCGCCCCGAGGCGAGGCCUCGGAGCUGGUUGCUGCUCACAGGCAGAGAAACGCUGAAGUGUUCCUGAAAACUCGUCAAUUACAGGAAAAGCUGCAUGACUGCAUCUUUAGAGGAGAUGGUUUCGCUGGUUCCAAGGAUUCUGUUAAUGAGAAAACUCCACAGGCCAGCAUUCUGUAAGCUGGCUCCAGCAGCCCAGUUGACAGUGGCUGAGGCCAGUUCCUGAUCAUCCUGAGGAACACCAGGUCUGGGAGAGGGAACAGCACUGGCCAGGGGAGGGAGGAUUUUCCUUGGGCAAGUGGCUAAGCUGGAUGAUUUCAAGGAAUUGAGUGAAUCCAGACAGCAGGUGGGGAGAGAGAUUACCAUCUUACAACUUUUGAUCUCUUAGGGAUUCUUCCCUUUUUUUCCCCUACUUUUUAAGCACGUAAGUCAGAAGCCACACUACCUGUGAUUUUGGCCAAGUCAUUUUAUCUUUCUGUGCCUAUAUGUCAUCUGUCAAUGGGGAUAAUAAAAGCACCUGUCUAGAGUUGUUAUGAGGAUUACAUGAACAGUACCUGCUACAUAGGAAGUGCUAUCCAGGUAUUUGUUGUAAUUAUUUCUUACUUUGCUUACCUCCCUGGAAUUAGCCUGUUCUGCUGAUUUAUUCAUUUCCACAGCGAUUCUUUGAUAAAUUCAUGUGUUUAAUUUUUUUCUGGCCCCAGCUGUUGGAUACAGUCAGGAAAUAGGCAAGAAAUGCCAGCUCCGGAAGCAGAGGGAGAAUAAGAUAGUUAUUCUCUAGUGCCACCCAGGAAUAUGCCACUGAAGUGUUAAUGACAGACUCUUCCCUCUACAGGAGAGUUGUGCUAAACUUUGAUGUUUUGUGGUCUUCUGGGGAUUCUGGAAGUAAGGGACCUGAGGUGACUUAACAACAACUGCUGUAUGACAGGAUCAGGAUAAGUGAGUUGUGAAUGCUUAGCAGAGUCUGAUUAAGUUCAGAGUGAAGCUGGAGCAGGAGAGAAUCCAGCUCUGACCUGCCGUUUACACUUUUUUUUAUCGUUCAGGAACUUCAUCUUGGCUGCCAGUUUUCAGAAAUAGAAAUUGUAAAUAUAUUUCCAUUUUUUUGUCUUUGACUGCUUAAAGUGCUUUUGUUUGUUUGUUUUACCUCACAGGAGUUUUUAUUCUAUGUGGGUCAAGUUUACCAAUCUUUUCAUUAAUGAUCUCUGGAUAUUGGCUUAUAA
rnacentral:lncRNA from 10 species